ensembl:miRNA
AGCGGCGUCAGAAGCGAUGGCCGUGUCUCUAUCCAAUAGGUCGGGUCGCUAAUGACGUCACC